UAAUACAGAGGUGGCAAGCGUUGUUCGGAAUUACUGGGCGUAAAGGGCGCGUAGGCGGUCGCCUCAGUCGGACGUGAAAUCCCCAGGCUUAACUUGGGAACGGCGUCCGAUACUGGGUGACUGGAGUUCGGGAGAGGAAUGUGGAAUUCCAGGUGUAGCGGUGAAAUGCGUAGAUAUCUGGAGGAACACCGGUGGCGAAGGCGGCAUUCUGGACCGAAACUGACGCUGAGGCGCGAAUGCCAGGGGUGCAAACAGG
rnacentral:rRNA from 1 species